rnacentral:rRNA from 1 species
AUUGAACGCUGGCGGCAGGCCUAACACAUGCAAGUCGAACGAGCGGCGGACGGGUGAGUAAUGUCUGGGGACCUGCCUGAUCGAGGGGGAUAACUACUGGAAACGGUAGCUAAUACCGCAUACUCUCGGAUGAGCCCAUAUGGGAUUAGCUAGUAGGUGGGGUAAAGGCUCACCAAGGCGACGAUCCCUAGCUGGUCUGCGAGGAAGACCAGCCACACUGGGACUGAGACACGGCCCAGACUCCUACGGGAGGCAGCAGUGGGGAAUAUUGCACAAUGGGAGCAAGCCUGAUGCAGCCAUGCCGCGUGUAUGAAGAAGGCCUUCGGGUUGUAAAGUACUUUCAGCGGGGAGGCGUUACCCGCAGAAGAAGCACCGGCUAACUCCGUGCCAGCAGCCGCGGUAAUUC